rnacentral:rRNA from 1 species
AGUGAACGCUGGCGGUAGGCCUAACACAUGCAAGUCGAACGGCAGCACAGUAAGAGCUUGCUCUUACGGGUGGCGAGUGGCGGACGGGUGAGGAAUACAUCGGAAUCUACUUUUUCGUGGGGGAUAACGUAGGGAAACUUACGCUAAUACCGCAUACGACCUACGGGUGAAAGCAGGGGAUCUUUGGACCUUGCGCGAUUGAAUGAGCCGAUGUCGGAUUGGCUAGUUGGCGGGGUAAAGGCCCACCAAGGCGACGAUCCGUAGCUGGUCUGAGAGGAUGAUCAGCCACACUGGAACUGAGACACGGUCCAGACUCCUACGGGAGGCAGCAGUGGGGAAUAUUGGACAAAGGGCGCAAGCCUGGUCCAGCCAUACCGCGUGGGUGAAGAAGGCCUUCGGGUUGUAAAGCCCUUUUGUUGGGAAAGAAAAGCAGCAGGUUAAUACCCCGCUGUUCUGACGGUACCCAAAGAAUAAGCACCGGCUAACUUCGUG